AUGCUCGCUUCAACAGCACAUCUACUAAAAUGGGAAUGAUACAGAGAUGAGCAUGGCUCCUGCGUAAGGAUGACACGCAAAUUGGUGAAGUGUUCCUCUUUUUU
ensembl:snRNA U6 U6 spliceosomal RNA